rnacentral:tRNA from 1 species
GCCCAGGUGGCGGAAUCGGUAGACGCUGGGGACUUAAAAUCCCCUGACCUUGCGGUCGUAAGGGUUCAAGUCCCUUCCUGGGCA